AUUGAACGCUGGCGGCAGGCUUAACACAUGCAAGUCGAGCGAGCGGCGGACGGGUGAGUAAUGUCUGGGAAACUGCCUGAUGGAGGGGGCUAACUACUGGAAACGGUAGCUAAUACCGCAUACCAUCAGAUGUGCCCAGAUUGGAUUCGCUAGUAGGUGGGGUAAUGGCUCACCUAGUCGACGCUCCCUCGCUGGUCUGAGAGGAGGAACAGCCACUCUGGAACUGAGACACGGUCCAGACUCCUACGUGAGGCAGAAGGGGGGAAUAUGGCACGAUGGGCGCAAGCCUGAUGCAGCCAUGCCGCGUGGGUGAAGGAGGCAUUAGGGUUGUAAAGCACUUUCAGCGAGGAGGCGUUACUCGGAGAAGAAGCACCGGCUAACUCCGUGCCAGCAGCCGCGGUAAUUC
rnacentral:rRNA from 1 species